rnacentral:misc_RNA from 1 species
GUUGACAUUUGUAUAUAUUUCAAAUGUUCAAACAUAAGAAAAGAUGAAAACAUCUCAUGAAUCUUUAUUUUUAGAUUGAUAUAAGUCAAAGAAAAGUGAGAACAGAAGGCCAAUGCCACUAGUUUAUCAGACAGUUGUAAAACAUUAAUCAAAUUACUCAUUUAGAUAAUCAAAAUCUAGUUUUUCUUUUACAAUUCUAUUUCUAAUAUUCACUCACUAUUUUUCCAACAGAUCUAAGAAACAGAAUGCUUGAGCAAAUCAGAGUUCAGACAAAGUAUAGGAAUAUAUAUAGCCAACAUAUGAUAAGCUCUCAGGGCUCAGCCUACAAGGUCAAUAAAAGCCCGUUCUUCAAUGUAUGAUGUUGACAAAAUAACCGACUCUAACAGUAUUCUGAUGAAGAUGAUAUAAUGCUUUUGAUCUUGCCAUCACCAUCUUCCAAAAGCUAGAGCAUGAUUACAAC